UAUUGAGAGAAAAGUAGCGGAGUAUCAUUUGUGUAGCGGCAUAGUAUGUAGAGAUUGAAUAGUACUUUAUUAAUCUUCCCAGCCUAAACAUAAAAAUGGAAUAUCUCAUAAAUGGGUUGAUGGAAAACAAAAAUGUCAACAUCAAAAUUAAUUUAAACUAAUAUUCUAUCAAUUUAUGGAACUUUUAAUUUAAGGUAACCAUUUUAA